rnacentral:rRNA from 1 species
AUAUUUAAUAGAAAUAAUUAUUAGUAAAACCUGCUCAAUGAUAUUAAAUAGCCGCAGUUCAUACUGUGCUAAGGUAGCAUAAUCACUUGUUUUUUAAUUGAAAACCAGAAUGAAAGGUCAAACAUUUCAAUUAUUAUUUUAAAUUCAUUAUUUAAAUUUAUUUUAAAUGUAAAAAAACAUUUAUAUAUUAGAAAGACGAUAAGACCCUAUUGAACUUAACUUUAGUUAAACUGGGGUAGUUUAAUAAUUAAUAUUUUAAUAUAAAUUUACUAAUAAAUGACCUAAUAAAAUUAAUUCUAUGAUUAAGUUACCAUAGGGAUAACAGCGUAAUAAUUUUCUAUAGAUCUUAUAUAAAAAAACGAUUGCGACCUCGAUGUUGAAUUAAUUUUCUAUUUUAUGAAAAAAUUUUAAAAGAAAGUCUGUUCGACUUUUAAACAAUUACAUG